rnacentral:rRNA from 1 species
GAUGAACGCUGGCGGCGUGCCUAAUACAUGCAAGUCGAGCGAACAGAUGAGGAGCUUGCUCCUCUGACGUUAGCGGCGGACGGGUGAGUAACACGUGGAUAACCUACCUAUAAGACUGAGAUAACUUCGGGAAACCGGAGCUAAUACCGGAUAAUAUAUUGAACCGCAUGGUUCAAUAGUGAAAGACGGUUUUGCUGUCACUUAUAGAUGGAUCCGCGUCGCAUUAGCUAGUUGGUAAGGUAACGGCUUACCAAGGCAACGAUGCGUAGCCGACCUGAGAGGGUGAUCGGCCACACUGGAACUGAGACACGGUCCAGACUCCUACGGGAGGCAGCAGUAGGGAAUCUUCCGCAAUGGGCGAAAGCCUGACGGAGCAACGCCGCGUGAGUGAUGAAGGUCUUCGGAUCGUAAAACUCUGUUAUUAGGGAAGAACAAAUGUGUAAGUAACUAUGCACGUCUUGACGGUACCUAAUCAGAAAGCCACGGCUAACUACGUG